AUUGAACGCUGGCGGCAUGCUUUGCACAUGCAAGUCGAACGGCAGCGCGGGCUUCGGCCUGGCGGCGAGUGGCGAACGGGUGAGUAAUGCAUCGGAACGUGCCCAGUAGUGGGGGAUAGCCCGGCGAAAGCCGGAUUAAUACCGCAUACGACCUGAGGGUGAAAGCGGGGGACCGAAAGGCCUCGCGCUAUUGGAGCGGCCGAUGUCGGAUUAGCUAGUUGGUGGGGUAAAGGCUUACCAAGGCGACGAUCCGUAGCUGGUCUGAGAGGACGACCAGCCACACUGGGACUGAGACACGGCCCAGACUCCUACGAGAGGCAGCAGUGGGGAAUUUUGGACAAUGGGGGCAACCCUGAUCCAGCCAUGCCGCGUGCGGGAAGAAGGCCUUCGGGUUGUAAACCGCUUUUGUUCGGGAAGAAAUCCUCUGGGCUAAUACCCCGGGGGGAUGACGGUACCGGAAGAAUAAGCACCGGCUAACUACGUG
rnacentral:rRNA from 1 species